rnacentral:rRNA from 1 species
AUUGAACGCUGGCGGCAUGCUUUACACAUGCAAGUCGAACGGUAACAGGCCUUCGGGCGCUGACGAGUGGCGAACGGGUGAGUAAUGCAUCGGAACGUGCCCAGUCGUGGGGGAUAACGCAGCGAAAGCUGUGCUAAUACCGCAUACGAUCUGCGGAUGAAAGCGGGGGACCUUCGGGCCUCGCGCGAUUGGAGCGGCCGAUGUCAGAUUAGGUAGUUGGUGGGGUAAAGGCUCACCAAGCCAACGAUCUGCAGCUGGUCUGAGAGGACGACCGGCCACACGGGGACGGAGACACGGCCCAGACUCCUACGGGAGGCAGCAGUGGGGAAUUUUGGACAAUGGGCGCAAGCCUGAUCCAGCAAUGCCGCGUGCAGGAAGAAGGCCUUCGGGUUGUAAACUGCUUUUGUACGGAGCGAAAAGGCUCCCUCUAAUACAGGGGGCUCAUGACGGUACCGUAAGAAUAAGCACCGGCUAACUACGUGCCAGCAGCCGCCGUAACAC